AUUUCUUCUACAAAAGAGUGGUUAGGAGCUGGAAUGGGCUGCCCAGAGAGGUAGUGGAGUCACAAUCCCUGGAGGUGUUCAAGAAACAUUUUGAUGUUGUACUGAGGGACAUGGUCCAGUGAGAAAUAUUGGCGAUAAGUGAUGGUUGGACUGGAUGAUCUUGGAGGUCUUUUCCAACCUUGAUGAGUGUAUGAUUCUACUCCUCAGGAUUUCAACCAAUCUUAAAAGUCAUUGUCACUUUGGCAUCAUCAUGGUGGUCAUCUUGAUUUUGACUGCUUGGGAUUCAUUACAACUGAAGUUCUCCCUCUCCUACUGAAGCAUCAUCUCUGAUCUGAACAGUGAGCGCUCUCAGUAAUAUUACACCUCCGUCCCACCUGCUGGAAACCAUUCCUCCCUCCAGAGAACAAAAGGUAACAACAGAGUUUCCACCUAGAAAGAGCUGAAACAGGUGGCACAUCUAUACUCUGUCCUAAUGGUGUUCUUGUGGGCCAGGCUGGUGGGCUGGACAGUUAUCAAGACUGCUAAUCCUGCCUUAGGCACAAGACACACAAGAUGUAUGUACAUCUCAACAUGUCAAAAGCAUUAGCAUGCCUGAAGGCAAACAGCACGUCCAUCAGCUGUCUGCAGGAUAGUGGCAGGCCAGUCUUGUAACGAGAUGUGAGUGGGAGGCAACACUUACACUCAUGGCCACACUGCAGACCUCAGGAUGACACCACAGCAUGCAGCAUACUACUUGUUUCAUUUUUUUCUUCAUAAUGCUCAAUGUCUUUUCAAUAAUAUAAAAGGCCCAGUGAAACAAAGAUAACUGCCAUGACCAGAGAAUUUUAGGAGCUGAGGCCUUGGUUUGGGCUCAGUAUUAUCACUCUUUAAUGUACUGCAGUAGAGAGAGAUACUUAUCUGGUUUUGUAAUGUUGAUGUAUUCUGUAGAUUGAAACAGUUCUUGGCUCCCUGACAAAAGACCACACAGAGAAUCUGACUUGCAACAUAGAAGACCAUCAGAAAUCAUGGAGAGCUGCCAAAUGCUUGGCAGUGACCCUGGCAAUGAUCCUUGCCUGACUGCACAGCAGUCCCUGGAUAGGACAGACCUAUCUCUGGACAACUCCUUUACCUGGACACACGUCUGUGGCUCUGCUGGGAUUUUCAAAACCAGAAUUAAGAACACAUCGUAUGUCUAGAUCCAUUUUUGGAUUGCUUUGAAAAUGAUCGUGUUUAUACUACAGCUGAAGGUGAUGGACUCCAUCUGAUAGGUCUUUUGAACUGCUAAGUAUUCCUAAAACUACUACAGAAUUGUAAUGGCAGCUUCAAAACUUAGAACUUUAUCAUUGUGAUGCUUCCAAGUAGAGAAACUAAACCUUUAAAUACUACUUUAAAAAUAGUUUAAAGAUUUGCCUGCUUGCACUGCCCAAAGCAGUGAUCUACAUGGAAUAAAAUGAGGUAAAUUUGACCUUUGCAUGGUGCAAUUUAAACUUCUGUGCAUUGGUCAUGGGAGAGGGGAAGAGUGCACCUGAUACAUAUUAAGAAGAACUGUUAAAUUAGCGUCAGAGAUGUGCCCAACAAAUACACCACGCACAUUCAGUCUUGGAUGAGGAGAAUAGCAUCUAUUUCUCCAUACCAUGCUCCAUUUACCCUAAGGAUCACUGUCCUACUUACUGCUCUAAGGCAUGGCAGGCAGUCCCUUAAUCUAACAAAUGCAAUGUAGUUCACAAGCGUGAGCUGGGUCAAGAUGAACAAAUAUAAGAACGGGAGAGUGCAGGACAAUGGAUGAAAGAGCAAGGAGCCUGACCUUUGAGCAAUAAUAACAAAGCAGUAAACCUGGCCAUUAUUUCCAGCCUGUGCCAGGAGCAAUGGGAGGCCUCAGACAAAACAGCUUGAUCUGUACUUGGAUGAUGCUGAGCAGAACAGCAUUUCAAGCUAUUUCAAGCGCAGAAGAAGAGCCUGCAGCAGGGAAGGUGUCUGAGGGCAUAGAACUUAGCCAUUUUAAGUAGAGCUACAUAAUGUAAAAACAUCAUUUGAAAUCACCUACAAAAGCAGAGAAAGAAGUCAAAACUUGGAAUGCAUCCAGAAAGGAUUAAAGUAGUUAUGUGAAACAAAGAAAGUACGCUAUGUAAGGUAAAACUGCAGCUGAACAAAUAGCAUAAUACGCAACGA